AUGGUCAGCCUCUCCUGGUUGUACUCCAUCUUCUCUCUUUGCACAUCUAUGAAGAUCUUGUACCUCUUCUCCUUCUUCAACUUCUUGGCAGAAAAAAUGACCAUCCAAGUGAUGGAUGACAACGGCAAGACCCGACAUACACUGAUAGUUCAAGCUGCUGGUUUGGUUGUUGUUUUGUGUGCCUAUAUGGCCACAAUAACUACAAGGGCUAGAAUUAGAAAUUAUCGUGCUCCAAUCCAUUAUGUUAUGCUUGAGAGAGACAUAGCUAGGUUGUCCAAUCAACGUUAUAUCUAUGAAGCCAAUGAUAUAAAUUGCCAUGACCUAUUAAGGAUGAGCAGGGCCCCAUUUUAUAACUUGUGUAACUUGUUUCGUGGUCAAAAAUUGUUAGAAGACAACAUUCAUACCUGCAUUGAGGAGCAGGUUGCGAUGCUCCUUCUUGUAGUUGGGCACAACCAUAGGUUUAUGGCAAUGAAGCCCAUAUUUAGGAGGUCAAUUGAAGUAAUCAGUCGAUACUUCAAGGCAGUUUUAUAUGCAAUAGGGGAGUUGCGUGAUGAGAUGAUCCGGCCCCCAUCCAAUGAAGUUCAUCCAAAAGACUGUGCUGGUGCAAUUGAUGGCACCCAUGUUCUUGCGAAGGUACUGGUUGCUAUUGCUUCGGCAUUUACAGGUCGAAAAGGUGGCAUCACCCAAAAUGUGAUGGUUGCGGUUUACUUUGACCAUAAGUUUACCUAUGUGUUAGCUGGUUGGGAAGGGUCAGCCCAGGAUGAACUUAUUUUGGCCGAUGUGUUGGAAAGGAAUGAUGGAUUUGUUGUCCCUGCAGACAUGUGA
rnacentral:rRNA from 1 species